rnacentral:rRNA from 1 species
GACGGAGGAUGCAAGUGUUAUCCGGAAUCACUGGGCGUAAAGCGUCUGUAGGUGGUUUAAUAAGUCAACUGUUAAAUCUUGAGGCUCAACCUCAAAAUCGCAGUCGAAACUAUUAGGCUAGAGUAUAGUAGGGGUAAAGGGAAUUUCCAGUGGAGCGGUGAAAUGCGUAGAGAUUGGAAAGAACACCGAUGGCGAAAGCAGGCAUCUGGGCCAUCACUGACGCUGAGCUGCGAAAGCUAGGGGAGCAAACAGG